ACCAGCGCUUCAUUUGCUAAGGUGGGAUAGGGUACUGAUAUACUGACGUAGAUGGGAAAGAUAGUUGAUCAAACUGGUUUGAUCAGAGGAAAUUGUAAGAAAUGAUGGUAAAUGUUGCUUGGAAAGCUACUUAAGAAAGACAUACAGAGACACAUCUUUGGCUAAUGCACUGCUUUUCUUCCCACUAGUGCUUUAUGCAAUUAAAAUUUAAAGCCCACAGUAUUGAAAGAGAAGAAAAUGGUAGGCAUGCCUUCUUUCUUAUGAGAACCAAAGUCCUCUGAGAUCACAUCCGUGCUGAAGACCCUGCAGACAGAGUGGGAUUUAGGAAUACAACACAGAGAGAUGGUAGUUAGCAGGUCAGAGUCAAAAUUGCCCUGAGCUCUUGUUAGUCCCCCUUAGUAGCCAUUUUCCACCAACCCCUGACCCAAUAUCUUUGUGAGUGCCAGGUAAACCUUUUAAAAUGUUUUGUUAUUUUUAGCAGACCAUUUUUCUCUCAUCUUAAAGCUAAGAACAUUGCAAGAUACAAUCGGAAUCCUAUAGAAGACAUCCCUGCUCUGCUGGACCCACCCAAUGUCUCCAUCAGUGCACUUGCCCAUGUCCUCUCUCCCAAGCCUCCUC
rnacentral:lncRNA from 1 species